AUGACAUCAGAAGACACCCAAAAGAUGAUUGAGCAAUGGUGCACCCAAAUAGAAGAGAUGAAUGACCACCAAGCCGAGAUAGACAUGAGGUGCUACUCUGACAAUUUGACUUUAGCCGUCAUUGAACGGGUGAUCUUCGGCGAGAACUGUAAAGAAGCUCGGGAGGUGUUCAUCGCUGGCAAGGAGGGCCAGAAGCUCGCGGUAUAUGCGUUUGCGGAUCCUCCAAUACCUGGUUUUAGAUACCUUCCGACUCGCCGUAACUUCCAGUUAUGGAAAAUCAACAAGUUGGCAACAAGGAAGAUAACACAUCUCAUAAAGACACGGUUUGUUAGAGGUGUCUCCGGAGACGACCUACUCCGGCUGAUGUUGGAGGCCUACAUGUCCAAAGAAGUCGAGCCACUGAGCACUGAGGAGAUGGUCGGUGAGUGCAAGACCUUGUUCGCUGCAGGGCAGGACACAGGUGCCAGCCUCCUCACCUGGGGGAUGUUCCUGCUUAGCAACUAUCCAGAAUGGCAAGAGAAGAUCAGGGAGGAGGUGCUACGAGAAUGUCAGGAUGACAGCGAGGCCCCGAGCAUCGACGUCCUCGGUAAACUGAAGCUACUUAACAUGUUCCUCCUCGAGACGCUGAGGGUCUAUAGCCCUGUGCCGUUCCUGAUGAGGAAGACCGCCUAUGACACCACAUUAGCAAACAUCAAAGUGUCAAAAGGAACCACGAUAACAAUUCCGGUCAUGAUGUUGCACCGGUGCAAGGAAAUCUGGGGCCUCGACGUGGACGAGUUCAACCCCAUGAGGUUUGAGAAAGGCAUCUCGAGGGCUGCUAAGAACAUGCACACGUUGUGGGCCUUCUCAUACGGGCCACGCGGGUGCCCUGGGAGGAGUUAUGCCAUGGUCCAGGUGCAGACUGUGAUGGCUAUGGUCCUGAGAAGGUUCUCCUUCUCCCUCUCUUCUCGGUAUGUUCACAUGCCCAUGUACUACAUCACACUGGUGCCUAGGUAUGGGCUUCCCCUGAUAGUGCAGAACCUGGUGGAUGAUGAAACAAAUGACAUGUAA
rnacentral:rRNA from 1 species